rnacentral:rRNA from 1 species
CAAAAACAUCGCCUCCUGCAAAAAUCAACAUAUAGGAGGUCUUGCCUGCCCAGUGACUCUAAGUUAAACGGCCGCGGUAUUUUGACCGUGCAAAGGUAGCGCAAUCACUUGUCUUUUAAAUAAAGACCUGUAUGAAUGGUGAAACGAGGGCUUAACUGUCUCCCCACUCCAGUCAAUGAAAUUGAUCUACCCGUGCAGAAGCGGGCAUUAUAAUACAAGACGAGAAGACCCUUUGGAGCUUAAGACAAUAAGACCAACUAUGUCAAAAGUCCAAAAACUAAACCAAAUAGCACUGGCCCAAGUCUUCGGUUGGGGCGACCGCGGGAGAAAAUAAAGCUCCCAUGCGGACUGGGGGAAACCCUAAAACUAAGAGAAACAUCUCUAAGGCACAGAACAUCUGACCAAAAGAUCCGGUUAUAUACCGACCAACGAACCAAGUUACCCUAGGGAUAACAGCGCAAUCCCCUUCCAGAGUCCAUAUCGACAAGGGGGUUUACGACCUCGAUGUUGGAUCAGGACAUCCUAAUGGUGCAGCCGCUAUUAAGGGUUC